rnacentral:tRNA from 1 species
AGUUGCUUAGUUGGUAAAGCACUUGUCUAGCGAAUAAGGGUCGUGAGUUCAAAUCUCACUU